GAUGAACGCUGGCGGCGUGCCUAAUACAUGCAAGUCGAGCGAAUGGAUUAAGAGCUUGCUCUUAUGAAGUUAGCGGCGGACGGGUGAGUAACACGUGGGUAACCUGCCCAUAAGACUGGGAUAACUCCGGGAAACCGGGGCUAAUACCGGAUAACAUUUUGAACCGCAUGGUUCGAAAUUGAAAGGCGGCUUCGGCUGUCACUUAUGGAUGGACCCGCGUCGCAUUAGCUAGUUGGUGAGGUAACGGCUCACCAAGGCAACGAUGCGUAGCCGACCUGAGAGGGUGAUCGGCCACCCUGGGACUGAGACACGGCCCAGACUCCUACGGGAGGCAGCAGUAGGGAAUCUUCCGCAAUGGACGAAAGUCUGACGUAGCAACGCCGCGUGAGUGAUGAAGGCUUUCGGGUCGUAAAACUCUGUUGUUAGGGAAGAACAAGUGCUAGUUGAAUAAGCUGGCACCUUGACGGUACCUAACCAGAAAGCCACGGCUAACUACGUGCCAGCAGCCGCGGUAA
rnacentral:rRNA from 1 species